UACGGGGGAGCAAGCGUUGUUCGGAUUUACUGGCGUAAAGGCGCGUAGGCGGCGCAACAAGUCACUUGUGAAAUCUCCGGGCUUAACUCGGAACGGCAAGUGAUACUGUUGUGCUAGAGUGCGGAAGGGGCAACUGGAAUUCUCGGUGUAGCGGUGAAAUGCGUAGAUAUCGAGAGGAACACCUGCGGCGAAGGCGGGUGCUGGGCCGACACUGACGCUGAUGCGCGAAAGCCAGGGAGGCGAACGGG
rnacentral:rRNA from 1 species